rnacentral:rRNA from 1 species
AGUGAACGCUGGCGGUAGGCCUAACACAUGCAAGUCGAACGGCAGCACAGAGGAGCUUGCUCCUUGGGUGGCGAGUGGCGGACGGGUGAGGAAUACAUCUGAAUCUACUCUGUCGUGGGGGAUAACGUAGGGAAACUUACGCUAAUACCGCAUACGACCUACGGGUGAAAGCAGUGAAUCUUCGGACCUUGCGCGAUUGAACGAGCCGAUGUCGGAUUAGCGAGGUGGCGGGGUAAAGGCCCACCAAGGCGACGAUCAGUAGCUGGGCUGAGAGGAUGAUCAGCAACACUGGAACUGAGACACGGUCCAGACUCCUACGGGAGGCAGAAGUGGGGAAUAUUGGACAAUGGGCGCAAGCCUGAUCCAGCCAUACCGCGUGGGUGAAGAAGGCCUUCGGGUUGUAAAGCCCUUUUGUUGGGAAAGAAAUCCAUCUGGUUAAUACCCGGGUGGGAUGACGGUACCCAAAGAAUAAGCACCGGCUAACUUCGUGCCAGCCGCCGCAGUAA